UCGAGGUCGUUGGCUCCGGCCCAACGGACUGAGAGUCCGGCCAUUGCCCUCAUCUGGAGGGCAGCUGUCUGAAAACAAGGCUUUCGCAACACUCUCAGCGCCGCAGUCGCCCGCCAGCGCCGUGUGUCGUCUGCUCCCACACACACAGACAGUGAGUCACAUGACCCUCGCACGGCCUCGUCACCGUAAACUGCUUGCUCGCCACACAAUAGAGCCAGUCAAGACGAGGAGGACCGUGUUCCUGCAGACCUCCAUGACAGCUAGGAAUUUACUGGGAGGGCACGAUGGACGCCACGCGCCCACCUGAGGUGACAGUCCUUCAGCCUCAGGAGAUCACAGACCUGGACCAACAGUUCCUGGCACAGAGUCUUCACCUGAGGGGGGAGGAGAUAACCAUGCACACACAGCCAUGAAUACUGC